UAUUGUGCAAUUGCAAGAACCAUUCUAAUAUUUAGGUUUCUAAUAAUUUGACCUUGCACUUGUAGGUCCUGCUGUAAGAGGUUUAGACCCACUGUUCGAUCCAUUUUACAUGUGGGGAAACACUACACCACGACACAACAAUAAAGACAGGCAUCUGUUGGUAUAAGUGUACAACACCGACACUUUUUUGUCUCAAUCUAUACCGACACACGAAUUAUCACGGUUAUGCAGUUUUAUGACACAUCAUCUGUCGUCAAAGCUUCAACAGAGCACAAACGUAAUUUCUGUCGGCACUUAGAACCUUUGUGGAUAGAAUGUGUGUCGGUGAUUCAUAGGGACAAAAAAAAGUGUCCGCAAUGUUUUGGUUGGGCCCAUGCAAAAAUUAUGACGCCG
rnacentral:lncRNA from 1 species